GAUGAACGCUGGCGGCGUGCCUAAUACAUGCAAGUCGAGCGAACAGACGAGGAGCUUGCUCCUCUGACGUUAGCGGCGGACGGGUGAGUAACACGUGGAUAACCUACCUAUAAGACUGGGAUAACUUCGGGAAACCGGAGCUAAUACCGGAUAAUAUAUUGAACCGCAUGGUUCAAUAGUGAAAGACGGUUUUGCUGUCACUUAUGGAUGGAUCCGCGCCGCAUUAGCUAGUUGGUAAGGUAACGGCUUACCAAGGCAACGAUGCGUAGCCGACCUGAGAGGGGGAUCGGCCACACUGGAACGGAGACACGGUCCAGACUCCUACGGGAGGCAGCAGUAGGGAAUCUUCCGCAAUGGGCGAAAGCUUGACGGAGCAACGCCGCGUGAGUGAUGAAGGUCUUCGGAUCGUAAAACUCUGUUAUUAGGGAAGAACAAAUGUGUAAGUAACUAUGCACGUCUUGACGGUACCUAAUCAGAAAGCCACGGCUAACUACGUG
rnacentral:rRNA from 1 species